CGUGUACGCGUUACAACUACACCACCUCAACAGUUUUUUAUAUGAAAUUUCCGGAAGCCCGAAAAGGCCCUGCCCUACAUAAUUCCUCAUUCCUUUCCUUGAAAAACUAGCAGGCCAUCCUUAAUUCUCUUUAGUGUUUAUGGGUGUGCCAAUAACUUAACAUUAAAGGACAGCUUUUUUACAGUUUAGUUGGACUCUCAAAGGAGUUUGGUAUCAGACAGGCUCGUAACCAAUUUACCAAAUAAAUAUAAUAUAAAUUAUGUACAUCGACUACGGGUAUAGACAGAAAGACUCAUUCAUCAAGAAAUUGGGAAAAUGGACUUGGAAAACCUCGGUCAAUUUGGGCAGAGACUUCUGUCUCAGGACCACCAUUCAUGGGUUUCAACACAUUGCUCAGCCUGGCAGAUAUUGGUUUGAAAGGUUACUUUGGUUCGGAUUGACGAUGGUAGCGAUAAUUGGGGCCGUAGGAGUUACUAGAGAUCAGUGGCAGCGGUACAACGAGAACCCGACGGUUGUUACCCUGGAGAAGAACUUCAGGACCUGGCAGUACAGCGUGCCUGCUAUCACUGCGUGUAUCGAGGUGCAGUUUUAAUACCAAUUUGUAAACAGCAAUUAGAAUUAACAUAGUUAUAUGUUUUUAUGAAGAUAAAUUUUCUCUUCUCUCCUGUCCUACCCUUGACGAUAGUUAAGGUAAUAUUCUUCGUAGUGGAAUAAUUAUGGUUUUCUUACCAGAUAGAUAAGUGACAAUAAUUUGUAAACUGGUAGAAAUUGUGAUAAAGACUACGUUAAUAUUAUCUAUAAAAUACUUGUUCACUCUAGCCGUAAAGCCCCAGAGUGAAAGAACCUCCAGCUCAAUGAACUCAAAUUCACGGCCAAACAACCAAGAAAUAGAGA